UUGUCUCCUCUACAAAGGGACAAAUGUAACUUUAUCUCCCACGCCUACGACCUGGUGAAGUGCCUGGCACAUAAUAGGCUCUCAAUGGAUCCUGCUGAGUGAAUAGAACAUGGAAUGAACACAGCUUCAUUCUCUCCUGCAUAUCCUUCUGUUCCCGCCCCCAGAAGCCUUGAAGACCAGGCUUAGGAAAGGGACUCCCCAGGAGCAGGGCUGAGAGGAGAAAAGGUCCCCUCUGCCAGCUCCCUGCAGUCUAGGACCAAGAGACUAAAUCAAACUUAGCACAGUAACCCCAGAGCAAGUCGAUUCAAGCCUCCAAUCCUUGGGGAUAGAAGAGAAAGAGGACAUGAUAACAGAGGCUACUUUACAGAGGAGCUGGAAGAACUAGAAGAGCUCAUUCCAUGACCACUUACCAGGUGCUCAGUUCAAGAAAGUGAAAAAAAAAAGUAUAAAAGAGACAUCAAGGUCAAGUUCAAAUGGCUGCUGGUCCUGCAGCCGUCUCCGUUUGCCAUCACACCACAGAAUCUCCUUCCUCUUUGGCCCCUGCAGUUUGCAGCAUAGCACGCACUCCAGGGAAGGAGGGCCAGGCCUCACUGUGCAAGUGUCAUCCACCCCUGCCCAGCCCCAAGGGGCAGCUCUGCUUGCUGGAGCAGCACUGGGAGCGCGUGCUGAGGAGACCUCAGGGCUGCCUUCAGUGCUCCCAACAGCACAGAAGAUAGCAGCCACUUCUCUGCCAUCCCCAACAGCUCCCUGAGGGACCCAAUGUGCUUUCUACAAUAAAUACUUCUCAAGUCAAAGCCUGUCUGCAAAGAUAAGUCUUUCAGUGAGUUGUACUGGCAAAUAUAAUUCUGGGGCUGAAUUUACCUGUUUGAGCCACACGUUUGUCGUCAUCAGUUGAUUCUUUUCAUCCUACAAAAAAUGACAAUUAAAAAGAAUUAAAAUUGAAGGAAGUUGAAGUUUUGGGUUUUUUUUUUUCUUUUUUUAAAAGAAGCUCUUUCAGUCUUACCCUGGUGUUCAAAAGUGCAAAAGAUUCUUAAGAAUGUUUAAAUGGCAUGUGAUCCUAACAUAUUAUGCAUAGUUUGCUUAAAAGGAG
rnacentral:lncRNA from 1 species